UACGAAGGGGGCUAGCGUUGCUCGGAAUCACUGGGCGUAAAGCGCACGUAGGCGGAUCGUUAAGUCAGGGGUGAAAUCCUGGAGCUCAACUCCAGAACUGCCUUUGAUACUGGCGAUCUUGAGUUCGGGAGAGGUGAGUGGAACUGCAAGUGUAGAGGUGAAAUUCGUAGAUAUUCGCAAGAACACCAGUGGCGAAGGCGGCUCACUGGCCCGAUACUGACGCUGAGGUGCGAAAGCGUGGGGAGCAAACAGG
rnacentral:rRNA from 1 species